rnacentral:rRNA from 1 species
GUCAUAUGCUUGUCUCAAAGAUUAAGCCAUGCAUGUCUCAGUACAAGCCAAAUUAAGGUGAAACCGCGAAAGGCUCAUUAAAUCAGUUAUGGUUCCUUAGAUCGUACCCACAAUUACUUGGAUAACUGUGGUAAUUCUAGAGCUAAUACAUGCAAACAGAGCUCCGACCGGAGACGGAAGGAGUGCUUUUAUUAGAUCAAAACCAAUCGGUGGCGGAUUCGCUCGUCAUCGUACAACUUGGUGACUCUGAAUAACUUUACGCUGAUCGCACGGUCUCGCACCGGCGACGCAUCUUUCAAAUGUCUGCCUUAUCAACUGUCGAUGGUAGGUUCUGCGCCUACCAUGGUUGUAACGGGUAACGGGGAAUCAGGGUUCGAUUCCGGAGAGGGAGCCUGAGAAACGGCUACCACAUCCAAGGAAGGCAGCAGGCGCGCAAAUUACCCACUCCCGGCACGGGGAGGUAGUGACGAAAAAUAACGAUACGGGACUCAUCCGAGGCCCCGUAAUCGGAAUGAGUACACUCUAAACCCUUUAACGAGGAUCAAUUGGAGGGCAAGUCUGGUGCCAGCAGCCGCGGUAAUUCCAGCUCCAAU